UAUGCGCAGGAAGAAGAGCACCAGGGGAGACCAGGCUCCAGGCCACGACAGGGAGGCUGAGGCUGCUGUGAAAGAGAAGGAAGAGGGGCCAGAGCCCAGGCUCACCAUUGAUGAGGCCCCUCAGGAGAGGCUCAGGGAGACUGAGGGACCUGAUUUCCCAUCGCCUUCUGUCCCCCUAAAGGCUUCAGAUCCUGAGGAGGCGUCCCAGGCCCAGGAAGAUCCUGGCCAAGGAGACCAACAGGUCUGUGCCAAGGAGGCUGACCCGGAGCUGGAGCCCGCGUCGGGGGGAGAGCAGGAGCCGCGGCCCCAGCAAGCCCAGGUAGGCGGGAGUGGCCCGUGGCUGCUCUCAACAUCCGGAGCGGACUCCGGGCGGGGAGCGCUCCUGCCCAGGGCUGCGAGCCGCCCGCGACCCAGGGCGCUCGGGGCAGGGGCGGGGAAAGAAGGGGCGCCCCGUCACUUGCCCCCUCUGCAGACCAAGGCCACGUCCCAGAUCCUGGAGAAUGGGGAGGAGGCCCCGGGGCCCGACCCCUCUCUCGACCGCAUGCUCAGCAGCAGCUCCUCGGUGUCCAGCCUUAACUCCUCCACGGUGAGGCGGGAGGGAGGGGACCCGGGCGGCCGGGGGGUGGACCCGUUCCGAUGCGUAGCCCCUGCCUGCCCCUCCCUCGCCGCGGGACCCAGCGCUGCAGCCCCCCAGCCUGCCACCUAUGACCCGGGUCUGAAGCCUCCGCGCUGCCCCCGGCCCCGACGUGAGCCCUGCGAGUGGCCCUGACUCCCACCCACUCCCGUCCGCAGCUGAGCGGCAGCCAGAUGAGCCUGUCAGGCGACGCGGAGGCGGUGCAGGUCCGCGGCUCCGUGCACUUCGCGCUGCACUACGAGCCGGGCGCCGCCGAGCUGCGCGUGCACGUGAUCCAGUGCCAGGGCCUGGCCGCCGCCCGGCGCCGCCGCUCGGACCCGUGAGUGCCCCGCCGGCCAAGCGGGGCGCGGCUGUCACAGCCCAGCCCACCAUUCACAGGGUCUCGGCCUCCUCGUCCUCAUCUUCAAAAUGGGAACAACAGCGUUAUUGGGAGGCUUGCGAUUAAGCGAGACAAUCCCUGUAAAGCGCUUAGCACGAGGCCUGGCACGUGUUCGGGGUGGUGGCUGGGGGAGCCCACAGGCAGGGGAGAAGGCUCUGGGAGGGCCCCUCCUCACCUCGGGUUCUCACCUCCCCAGCUACGUCAAAAGCUACCUCCUCCCGGAUAAGCAGAGCAAGCGCAAGACGGCGGUGAAGAAACGGAAUCUGAAUCCGGUUUUCAACGAGACUCUCCGGGUGAGGCUGUGACCACGAUGCGGUUCCCCGUUAAUGAACUGGACGCCCCUUCCUGCGGGGCUAGGUGGCAAGGGCAGCCAGUAACGUCAUUGCCCGGAGGAUCGGCGCGGGGGGGCCCAUUAACUCGUUAUCCAGUGCUGUCAGCCUCGUGGUGGGCGUGGUGAUAGUGCAGGCCCCCAUUAAUGCCCUUCGGGGCUCCCCAGAAUUCCAUCAUCGUAGGAACGCGGUAGGACCCGCCCCAGCCAACUCGCGCAGCCUCUACGCGGGCCACCAGCAGUGCUCCACUAAAGCGCACCUCCUGUCCUCAGUACUCUGUCCCGCAGGCCGAGCUUCAGGGCCGCGUGCUGAGCCUGUCUGUGUGGCACCGCGAAAGCCUGGGUCGCAACAUCUUUCUGGGUGAAAUUGAAGUGCCCCUGGACACGUGGGACUGGGGCUCUGAGCCCACCUGGCUCCCCCUGCAGCCCCGGGUGAGGCAGCCAGGCCGCGCGGGGAGACCUGCGGCCCGGGUCUCCUGCAUUUACCCCACCAGGCUCUCCCGCAGCCCCCUCACACCCCGCCUUCGACAGAGCCUCCCCUCAACCUCUUAACCUCACGGCCCCAGGCGAAGCCCGGCCGGCUACGGCCCCUUCCCCGAGGGCGCUAGGACCCCUAGGUUCUGCCCCUGCAGGCCCCGCCGUCUCUUCUAGCCGCACCCCAUCCGGGUCUGCAGACCCCACCCUCCUGAGGCCCCUUUCCAUUAGCCCCUGCUCCACGAUAAGCCCGCCUCUCGCAGGUCCCACCCUCUCCCGACGACCUUCCGAGCCGCGGGUUACUCGCCCUGUCCCUCAAGUACGUCCCCGCCGGCUCCGAGGGCGCAGGACUGCCCCCGAGCGGGGAGCUGCACUUCUGGGUGAAGGAGGCUCGGGACCUCCUGCCGCUGCGGGCAGGAUCCCUGGACACUUACGUACAAUGCUUCGUGCUGCCUGAUGACAGCCGGGCCAGCCGCCAGUGUACAAGGGUUGUGCGACGCAGCCUCAGCCCUGUGUUCAAUCACACCAUGGUGUACGAUGGCUUUGGGCCUGCUGACCUGCGCCAGGCUUGUGCCGAGCUCUCCCUCUGGGACCAUGGGGCCCUGGCCAACCGCCAGCUGGGGGGCACACGCCUCAGCCUGGGCACCGGCAGCAGCUAUGGGCUGCAGGUGCCCUGGAUGGAUUCCACACCUGAGGAGAAGCAGCUGUGGCAAGCCCUCCUGGAGCAGCCGUGCGAGUGGGUGGAUGGCCUUCUACCCCUCAGAACCAACCUGGCCCCCAGGACGUAGCCCCACCAAGCCUCUCUCUCUGGACCCCCAUCUCAGGGCCUGCCCUUGGCUAAAGUCAAUAAAGUCUAUUCUAAGAGC
rnacentral:sRNA from 1 species